CUGCCAGGGGAGCUCGGAAAUGCCUGUCGCGGAGCCUCGGUCCAUCCGCCCCUCCCAACCGGUCCGGCACAUCCAGGCGCACACACAUCUGUCCACAAACACACCCUCCCUCACACACACACAACUCACACACACACCAAUUCACACAUACACAACUCACACACCAACUCACACGCACACAACUCACACGCACAGCAACUCACAUACACAUCAACACACACAUACACAACUCACACACCAACUCACAUAUGUGCCAACUCACAUGCCAACUCACACACGGACUCACACACACACCAACUCACAUGCACACCAACUCACACAUACACAACUCACACACCAACUCACACAUACAUAACUCACACCAACUCACAUGCCAACUCACACAACUCAUAUGCGCUCACACAUACACAACUCACACACCAACUCACAUAUGUGCCAACUCACAUGCCAACUCACACACGAACUCACACACCAACUCACAUGCACACCAACUCACACAUACACAAUUCACACACCAACUCACACAUACACAAUUCACACACCAACUCAUACAUAAUUCACACCAACUCACAUGCCAACUCACACACCAACUCAACUCACAUGUACACCAAUACACACACAUACACAAGUCACUUACACACCAACUCACAUACACACCAACUCACACAUACACAACUCACACCAACUCUCAUACACACCAACUCACACAUACACAACUCACAUCAACUCGCAUACACACCAACUCACACAUCUCACAUACACACCAACUCACACGCAUACCAACUCACACAUACACAAGUCACUCACACCAACACACCAACUCACACAUACACAACUCACACUAACACACACCAACUCACAUACACAACUCAUACCAACACACACACCAACUCACACAUAUACAACUCACACUAACACACACCAACUCACACACACCAACUCGCAUGCACACCAACACACACUAACUCAAAUACACACCAACUCACACUCACACCCUUACACAUACACAACUCACACACCAACUCACACACACACCCUCACCCCAACACAACCUCACACAUAUACAACACACACACCAACUCACACCCACACACUUUCACACACACCCUCACACACCCUCACACACACCAACUCCCAUGCACACAUCCUCCCUCAUACACAACUCACAGACCCAUGCACACACCCUUGCCCCCACCCAACACAACCUCACAUAUACACAACUCACACACCAACUCACAUGCACACACCCUCACUCCCAACGCAACCUCACAACUCACACACACCAACUCACACACCCUCACA
rnacentral:lncRNA from 1 species